UACAGAGGUCUCAAGCGUUGUUCGGAUUCAUUGGGCGUAAAGGGUGCGUAGGCGGCGCGGUAAGUCGGGUGGGAAAUCUCGGAGCUUAACUCCGAAACUGCAUUCGAUACUGCCGUGCUUGAGGACUGGAGAGGAGACUGGAAUUUACGGUGUAGCGGUGAAAUGCGCAGAUAUCAGGAGGAACACCGGUGGCGAAGGCGGGUCUCUGGGCCGAAAUUGACGCUGAGGAGCGAAAGCGUGGGGAGCAAACAGG
rnacentral:rRNA from 1 species